GUUACAUGGUUGAAUAGCGGUGAUACAUUCUUCUUUGCUAAUGGUAAAAGAAACGUUGCUGGUCAUGACCUGAAAUUGACACAGACGACCGCUGAUGGAGGCGUCGAUAAAUUUGGAGAAUGGACCAGAACUAAUUUCCAUUACACUGCUGGAACAUCACAAAUCAUAGCUGCUAUUAAGACAUACAAUAACAAUUCAACUCCAUUUGUCAUCUUUAGUCAGCAAUAUGUUAAUGGUGCUAAUAAUACUGAUGCUGGGAACGUGGAUUAUUCCAUCUCGUCUUUUCCUGGAUUUAAAAUCGAAAAGGGCACGCCUGCUUUAGGAUAUCUGUCAUAUGGUGGAAUGAUGUUUGGUGAUACCGAGAAAAAGAUGGGAUCUUGGGGCUAUUCCACAACCAAAAUAAACUACGGUAUUAAAGGUGGUCCAUUGGCAUUGUUUGAUCAAACUGGUGACACUAUCAUUAUCUCUUCAGCCAACAACUUUAUGUCCACAUCCGUUUGGCAUGAGUCAUUCUUAGACAUAGGUGGUUCUGUACACUGGGGUACUAUGGGUGGCGUAACUGAAGUUCCGCCUGGUCAUGUAGUUGAAACCGUACUUUACUACCACAACGGGGGCAU